AUUCCAGCUCCAAUAGCGUAUAUUUAAGUUGUUGCAGUUAAAAAGCUCGUAGUUGGAUUUUGGGUGCGGCAGGCCGGUCCGCCGUUUCGGUGUGCACUGGCAGGCGGCAUCUUUCUGUCGAGGACGCGCUCCUGGUCUUUAUCUGAUCGGGACGCGGAGUCGGCGCAGUUACUUUGAAAAAAUUAGAGUGUUCAAAGCGGGCCUACGCUUGAAUAUAUUAGCAUGGAAUAACACCAUAGGACUCCUGUCCUAUUCUGUUGGUCUUCGGGACGGGAGUAAUGAUUAAGAGGAACAGUUGGGGGCAUUCGUAUUUCAUUGCCAGAGGUGAAAUUCUUGGAUUCGCUCAAGACUAACUUAUGCGAAAGCAUUCACCAAGGAUGUCUUCAUCA
rnacentral:rRNA from 1 species